ACGAGGAAGAGCAGGAGGAACGGAGGAAAAGAGAAAAGAGAGAAAAAGAAGAGAUAAGGAGGAAGAAGAGAAAGAAAUAGCAAGGUGACUGGGGAAGCAAAAGAUGGUGAAGAAAGAAAUAUCUCCCCACCUCACUUGUUUUGGAGACAGCAAGAAAACAUAUCUAGACAUCUUACAAUGGACAAUGCUAUGUGAAACUGUGGCUUUUAUUCAGCAAUCAGCUUCUGUUUUUGUUUUUGUUAACAACUUCCACUUAUAUUUGAAGCAAAUAUAUAUACAUAUAUAUCUCCUGUAUAACUGACUUCAUUGAUUUAUCUUUUACGAAGCUACAUGGUGACCUAAGCUGAAAGGUUGAAUGGGGAACAUAGGUAGUGAAAUUUGAAUAGAAAAAUAUCAACUAUUAAAGCUUAACAGUGUGUGGUAUGGACAAUGAAAUGUUGAUAGUGAAAAUUUGUAAUUUUACAGAAAAAGUUUGACCAUGAAAUGGGGAUUUGGUGAUUGGAACACUAAAAACAUCAGCUGAAAGAUCUGAACUCUUGAUAGCAAAAAGAGGCAAUAAGAGAUGUGCUUUAUAAAGAAAUUUGAGCACUGAAAAGAUAGCUAUGAAACAUGAACAAUGAAAUAUUGGUAGUGAAAUGUAAGCAAUGAGAGAUGUGUAGUAAAAGCUUGAUAAAUAAAAUUUGAGCACUAAAAAAAGAUAGCUCUGAAAUCUGA